rnacentral:lncRNA from 1 species
AACAGCACCCAUACCAAAUGCACCGCCAACAUCAUCAAGUAUACGGUCAGGGCAAGGUUCACGAGAGGUCUCUGGUGUUCCCAUUGUUAAUGGGGACGAUCACUAACCGGGAGGAAAAAGUUUAAAGGGGAUGACACCAACCACGCACACUUGCUAUUACUUUCCAAGUAAGUGAUUGGUUUGAUAGAAUUCAAAUAUUUCACCUGCAUCAAGGGGAUGAUCACUAAGGAAAAAGGUUAAAGGGGAUGACACUGACCAAGCAAACUUGUUUUCACUUUCCAAACAAGUGAUUUGUCUGAUAUAACAACAUUAGAAUGCAAAGAUUUCACCUGCACCAAAACAGUUCUCAUCAAUCCGUGCCAUCCAUUUGAG